AGCAUGAUACCAAAAUCUGCAACAAAAACCAACGGAUAGACAGUAAGACAUUGAACAAAUUUUUUAAAAAUAAUCACAAAUAUGAUCCAAAAAUGUACAUUAUUUUUUUUCUAAUUUUUAAACCAGAUGCCACCAAAAAUAUACCCUUCAUCUGUGUUUGCAGAGAUACCAAACUUUAGAAUUAAAGACAGAACUUUUUAAGAGUAUUCCAAUCGAAGUUCCAGCCAAUUGUAAUCAAGGAAACUUUAGCUUCAUUAGAGCAUGUGCAUUAACGUGUUCUACUUCAAUUAUUCAAAUGUAAACACAAACCAUCCAUGGGGAAGCAAAACCCUUAAAUUGAAAAGGGAAAAAACAACACAAUGAAGGCCAAAAACGAAUCAUU
rnacentral:misc_RNA from 1 species